AUGAUAAGAAAAGUCAUAAUUCAUCCAAAAAUAAGCUAAAUGAGUCUUUCUUAACAGACAAAGGUUGAAACAUGAAAACAGGAUGGUGGACUAAUAAUAGUCUGAUUUGACUGAAUGCAAAUGCGACAAUUGUAAUGUUUGCCUGAGUUCGCUAAGACGCUCAUCAGAACCACAACGACGGAUGACAAUGACGACCAUCGAUGACCAAGUCAACUUUUUUUUAUUUUUUUUAUUGAGUUACUCUGCGGCGAUUCUUAGCCCCACGCAGAUGCAUAAUCUCAACUCAACUCAGUCACACGGAGCCUUCUAAGUCAAACCCUUCAGGCACUCCUUUCACAUGAAUUUAAUGCUGUCACUUUGCGUAGCUAUAUUGCAGUAAACCCAUUAAAUUUGAAACGCUUAUUUAACUGGACAGUGCAUUAGUUUACACAUGUACAUUCAAACCACAACAAUACUGCAGCCGGCCUACAUUUAAACACAAGUGAAAUAAACUGGGCAAAAAAAGCAGCUUUCCAUAACACAACUCUGCCUGCGUGGUAUCUUCAUCGACAGUCUCUCUGUCAUGAUCCGCCUCUGGUUUUCUCAUUCACCUGCCUGCCACCCUGAUCACUCCCAAUUAACCCAACCACCUUCACCUGUGUUUCCCCUAUAUCAGUCCUCUCCUCCCAAACAUUCCCUGCCAGAUUGUCUCUUGUGUUUCACAGUGCUUUCCCGCGAUUCUACUCCUGACCUACCACCGCUCCUGUCUGCUCUCUGAUCCCUGCCUGUCUGACUAUUCCCCCGGUUCCUGAUCCCUGCCUGUCUGACUCUCCUUCUGGUUCCUGAUCCUCGCCUGUCUGACUCCCCUGCCGGUUCCUGAUCCCCGCCUGUCUGACUACCCCGUUGGUUCCUGAUCCCUGCCUGUCUGACUCUCCUGCCGGUUCCUGAUCCCUGCCUGUCUGACUCUCCUUCUGGUUCCUGAUCCUCGCCUGUCUGACUCCCCUGCCGGUUCCUGAUCCCCGCCUGUCUGACUACCCCGUUGGUUCCUGAUCCCUGCUUGUCUGACUACUCGCCUGUCUACGAAAUAAACUAUUGACUCUGUUCCACGCUCGUCGCCAGCCUGUGCACUUGGGUUCAGCCAAACGCGCACGUUACACUCUCACUAGACUUUCUCCAGAUCUCUUGGACUUCUAAGCAGGAGACACCAUCAUUCAGAACCUGCAGCAGACCGGUCCGCGGGGCUUCCACUGGAGGAGGAGAUCACAAGGCCUUUGGACGGGUGACAGCUGGGGUCCCAACCCUACCCGACAACCUCCAGAGUUAGGAGGAAUCUAUGAUAGGAGGGGAGAGGACAUGCGAGGAGUGGACCCGGAGUUGCCACGAUGCAGCCCAACAGGCGGUCUGUCUGAAACACUUCCUCUGGUCUCAGUCCCCUCACAUGAGGCCAAAGGCUGGUGGCUAUGAACCAGUCAGGAAGGAGGGGCCAGUCAUCCAACCAGAUCCUAUUAAAGUUCACAUUCAAGGCCUUUUCAGAGUGUCUGAUUCCAUUUGACCAGAGACAUGGGACUACAGCCCCAUGAUGUGUGUUGACUGGUCCAUGCAGAACCGUGAUAUUCUACUGCCACCUAGUGCUGACUACGAGAAGUGGCAGUAUAGGCAGUGAAUAACGCCUAACACUCGCCCAACUAUGGUCCUGCCGCUACGACGUCUUCUCUCUUUCGGACUUCUUUGGGAAGAUGAAUGAAAUUUGAGCAGGCGUCAGUUCAAUAACUUUCCACAGUUGACCAAGGUAGGAUAAUAAUUAAUUGUUAGGCUACCAUUGUCAUCAUUCUUUUCACAAAAUAGCCUAGGCUACACACCAAUAAAAUAACUUGCAUUCAGAUGUUAGAUGAACUGACUGAUGGCCACCUGCUGGUUUACACAGACCACUUGAAGGCAGUCAAGGCAGAUAUCGAGGUCAGUUUCAGAGAUCUGGACAAGUUACCCGUCCCCGAUAGGUUGAUGGAGCCGCUCCAACAAGAUGCUGCCAGCAGUGAGGAGGCUAUCCACAGAGCCUCAUUGACCUCCAAAAAUGACGCCGAGGCAAUGGCAUCCUCGGGUUGCGGAGCGUUGUGGCCCAACCAUGGCUAGCGUUUCCCACAGUUUUGGGAGAGAUUCCACCUUUUGCUCCUCGCUUUCCCCACGUCCUAUCUUGUAGAGCAGGGCUUCAGCCAAGCUCUGCACAUGCUGUCAAAAUACCGCAACCGCCAAGACCUGGUAAGCUCUGGCACUCUCCGGUUGAAAUUUACCUCACAAUGUCCAGACGUCAAGACGCUGGCAGCGGGCCAUCAAGCACAGGGCUCUCACUAAUUCUUUGUUUUUAUAUCCCGUUUUCCUCCUUCCUCUUUCUGUUCUUCAGUUCCAGCUGAUCUGAGCGUAGUCUCCACAAAAGGACUGUUGCAUUUAAAAUACAAUAUCUAAUUAGGCCUCGCACGUGCAAUAUGGUUCCUGAUAGUUAACUGUUCACUUGAUUAUUCAGGUUAUAGUGGUCCUCCGUCUCACUCCUACUCGUCCUCUGUACCACUUGUUGGAGUCAGCUAACGAAAAGACAAGACAACAUUCCUUCGUUUUUAAAUUUUUACUUGAAAGUCUUCAAACAAAAUACACGUCUUCAACGAUAUCAACUACGGUCUUACGCACGGUCAAAAACUGUGUAGCUUCCAUCAAUGUCAGACUCCAAACUGAAUUACGUUACCGCCGUUACCGUUAUAACUAUACAGUGGCGUCAUUACGUAAAAAUCCCAAAACAUAGAAAACAUAUGUACCAUUUAUACCUCACUAAAUUAUGCAUUUUAACAGUUUUACACAUUAUUAAUUAACAUAAAAUUACUAUUAGCAUUUUUUAAUCAUUUUAAACUAAAUAUUUAUUAUAAAUCAAUUAUCGGCAUAUUGGCUCUUACAUUACCCGGCCCCUAAUUGGUUAGGCAGGUGGACUAAGCAAUUACAAACAUUAAGCGCCAAAAUAAAACAAUGCCCAACUCAAACUGGUUUCUUGUGAUUCUUCCCUUUUUUAAAUGUUCUCUCCUGACGCUGCUUCUUCUAACAAACACAGUUUGUUAACAGGCCUUUCCAAGAUACUGGUCUUGGUCUUUACCUCACUCUUCGAAACCGCUCCGCUGGAGUCCGGUAAGGUUUCAACCACUCUCCCCAUGAGCCAGGAGUUUCGAGGUGAAGAACUGUCCACUAACAACACAACAUCUCCAGUAGAAAGGUUUCUUCGUGGUCUCGACCACUUCUGCCGCUCCUGGAGUAGUGGGAUGUACUCACGGGUCCAUCUGGUCCAGAACAAGUCUGCUAUAUAUUGGACUUGCUUCCAGUGUUUUCUUGUGAAGAAUACAUGGAGGCAUGGUGGGUUGCGACUUCAACAUGGUUUAAUGGUUUAAUGGUUGGGGGUCAGAGGCUCGAGGUCAUUCACGUCGUCCGAGAUAUUUGUGAGAGGCCUGCCGUUGAUGAUGCUCUCAACCUCGCACAGAACUGUCUGAAGACAAUCAUCAUUCACAGUUUGUUCUUUCAACCAAGAAUUGAGGAUUCUUCACACUGUUCGAAUCUGUCUUUCCCAAACCCCACCCUGGUGGGAAGCUGCCGGGCUGCUGAAUAUCCACUGUAUUCCCUUUGGUUGCAAGACUCUUUCGAUUUUGUCAUGAUCAAAGAGUUGAAUUGCUUCCCUCAUCUCCCUUUCAGCGCCAACGAAGUUUGUGCCUUUGUCAGAGCGCACAAUAGUCACUUGACCUAUUCUAGGCAGAGAAUGCAGAAUCGAGUUAAUGCAGGAAUCUGUAUCGAGGCUAUCUGCAACUUCGAUGUGCACGGCUCUAAGGGUAAGGCAAGUGAACAGUACGCCAUAUCUCUUGACUGUACUCCGGCCCCACUUAACAUCGAACACACCGGUGUUCGUAAAGGGAGGUUUGUCUGACAGGAUGCGGUCUUCAGGCAGGUUUGCCAUCUUUUGCUCCCCGACUAUUCCAUUGAUCCUGCGACACACUGCACACUUGUUGAUUAUUUUUCGGAUAGCAGAAUUGGCUUGCGGGAUCCAGUACUUGCUUCUUAAAGGUGCCAUGACAUAACUGCGUCCGCAGUGUCCUGUUCUUUGGUGUAUGUCUCUCAAGAUCAAUGUGGCGACUCUACAGAGCUUAGAGAGUACCGCUGGGUGCUUGACAUUCUCUGGCAUGGCCAACUUGUUGAGUCUUCCGCCAACUCUCAAUGUGCCAUCUUGCAGAAUCUGAUCCAGCUUGAGCAGCUGACUGUUUCGACUAACUUUUCCCUUUUGCAGAGCUUUAAUAUCCUCUUGGUACUGUUGUCUUUGACUGAACUGGAUUAAUAUGGACUCUACAGCGACCAAGUCCUCUAAGCAGAUAAGACACAGUGCCGUAUGCGUACUCUGAGGCAUCCGAGAAAUGAUGUGACUGCGCCACGGCAGUGCAUCCGAAGUCUGGAGGUUUUAAACAUCUGCUCACGUGGAAGUCAGUAAGGUGAGUAACAUCUUCUUUCCAUUUUUGCCAAUCUUCAGCAUGUUUUUUGCCAAGGCUCUCAUCCCAACCAUGCUGCACCUUACAAAGCCCUUUUAGCAGAAGUUUGGAUAGCAGGACGACUGGCGCCAAGAAACCGAGGGGGUCGUAGACAGAGUUGACGACGGAUAAAAUGCAUCUCCUCGUCAUCGGCUUGUCUUGCAGCUUCAUGCUGAAAGUGAAAGCAUCCAUGUCUGUAUCCCACUGUAUGCCGAGAGUCCUCUCGACUGGUAGUGCGUCAUGGCUUAGAUCCAAGUCUUUUGCUUCACUAGCUCUGUGUACUUCUGCGAUGGACAUUAACACCUUCCGGCUGUUGCUCAUCCACUUCGUUAGAUUAAAACCUCCAGUGGCACACAAGGUGUGGAGAUCACUUGCCAAUGUCGCAGCGUCUUCUUCUGUAGCUACGCUCUUUAAACAAUCAUCCACGUAAAAGUUCUGCAGAAUUGUUUGAACGGCUUCUGGAGUGGCAGUGGCUCUGUGGUCCUCAGCGGUCCUCUUCAAAGAAUUCAGGAUUCUUGAGAUUUCUGUGCAAACUGGCUAUGCGCUGCUCCGCCACACAACGGACUGCAUGAACUGUUUAUCUUCUUGCGACAACUCUUCCUCGUCGUCGUAGUUGCGCUCUUGGAAAUCAGUAUUAUACUGUUGGAGAAGUAGCUUCUCAACUUCAAUCAAUGAGAUCCUGUUCACUGAACAUUGAGGCGGUUUGUUCUCUGUGUCCUCCAGUUCCUUUCUCAUGGGCCCAUUCACUACCAAUCCAAUUGCAGUCUUAACGGCAUAAGGUCCUCCAUGUUGACUGUUAAUAAUGCGCCAUGGCUCCAUAGCCUUCGGACAGUUUGCUCCAAUAAGUAGGCCUACAUCUGCUACCAAUCCUGGCAAAUGUACUUCACUGAGAUAUGGCCACUGUUGAAUAUUGGAUUUAGAGCUGGGACAAUUAGUCGACAUAGUCGACGUAAUCGACUUCAAAAAUUCGUCGACAUGAAUAAUUUGCGUUGACGCGUCACCUCCCCCCCCCCCGCUCUCACUCCAGUCGUGGCGGUAAAUAUGCACCAGAACGCUAGUCGCCAAUCGUUUAAAUUCAUAACAAUGGCGGCGGCAAGCAGUAGCGGGAGCACAGAGGCUGGUGGUAUAAAACUCGGCCAAAAGCCGAGCUCCGAGGGUUUGUUUACCAGCGUUGCUAUGGUGACCGGUCUUCCGUGUUCCAACGGUUUAUUAGGUAUCUAAUAAGCUGUCUAAUCACUUCAUUCACUGCCUCUUCCGUGGUCAUUACAAUAUUAUGAAUAGACUUUGUCGGGUUCGUAUUUUAUACUCUGGUGAAAAGAGAACUUUUGUCAUGUUAUGUAGUUCUAGUCUAGCUGUUGGCUGUUGACUGUCGAAAUUCCACAAUCUAGCAACCAGUUCUAAGUAGUAGAAGAACUUUUGUCAUGUUAUGUAGUUCUAGUCUAGCUGUUGACUGUCGAAAUUCCACGAUCUAUCAACAAGUUCUAAGUAGUAAACACACACUACAAGUUGAUAAUUUAAAUUACAUAAAUCCUUUUCGAAGUUGGGUCUCUGAGGUGGCAGUGCAAUAUUUUUCACUUUGCACGAUGAGAGAGGGAGGAAGGAGUAGAACAGUAUUUUUAUAUUUGGUUUAAUCCUCCUGAUUGACUUAUUUUGUUCAUUUGUUAGAUAGUACAUAUGGCAUCAAAAUGCACUAUUUUGCAGUUUGCACAAUUUAAGUGCAGUGUUUGCACAAUGUGAUUGCACAAAAAAGUGGCAUGUUAAAGAAAUGUUUAAUAAAUGUUAAUAUUCUAACAACAAAUGUUUUGAUAUCCAUAUUGUGUGAAAAGUGAUGAAGUACUGUGAAAUAAUCUGUAACUGAAAAAAAUAAUCGUUAGAUCAAUGGUAAAAUUAGUCGUUAGAUUAGUCGACUAAUCGAAAAAAAAAUCGCUAGAAUAAUCGUUUGAAAAAUAAUCGUUUGGGACAGCUCUAAUUGGAUUGGCUGAAAGCCAAAAAAAAAUCGCCAAAGCCGCGUUUUUUUUUUCUUGCAAUCUCCCUACCCUCUUUCCAACCAAUCAGAAGCAGCAUGCUGCUAUUGGGCAGUGAUGCUAACCAAUGAAUCAGUAUAACCUGCUCCACUUGCUCAUUCAUUUCUGAAAUGGCUUCAGCUUGACCAGAAGCUGAGUUAGGGGGAUUUAAUCCCGAGGAAAAAUAGCACGUCGGUCAUUUGGGAGUAUUUCGGGUUUGAGGCUGCCGACGUGCACCAGAAACAUGUACUGUGCAAAACCUGUCGCGCUAAAAUUGCAACAUCCAGCGGAAACACAACCAAUUUGUACCGGCACUUGAAAAAUCACCAAAGGCAUUUGCACGCGAGUGCAUGACAAAAAAGUCAGGUGAAAAGUCUAGCGGAAAGGAUACGCAGGCCCGUAGUAGCCAAAAGACUACAAUUACAGCGUCUUUUGCCAGUUUAACGCCGUAUGAUAAGAGCAGCCGAAGACACCGGGAGAUAACGACUGUCCAUUAACACGGUCACCAAAGACGGAUUUAAAAAUCUCCUCCGCAAGCUGGACAGAAGAUACACGAUCCCCUCCCGCACCUACUUCAGUCAGGUUGCCAUCCCACAGCUGUAUGUGGUGUAAAGAAAAAGUGGAAACAGAGCUAAGGGAUGUGGAGUAUUAUGCCACAACUACUGAUAUGUGGUCAAGCAGAACGACCAGAACGUAUCUUAGCCAUUUCAUAAAUGACAACUUUGAGUUGAAAAGUAGCUGCCUGCAGACAGCAUACUUUCCCACUGACCACAUCGGAGAAAAUAUUGCGCUGGGAUUGAGGGAGUGUCUGUCAAACUGGGGUCUGAAAGAAGAGGACCAGACGUGCAUCACAGCCGACGAUGCAGCAAACCUCAUCAAAGCUAUGAAACUUAUCAAUGGACCAGACUUCAAUGUUUUGGACACAGGCUGCAUCUUGCAAUUGGUAAGUGUCCGAGUGUGUGUUUGUGUAAUUUUGUGAGUGUGUGUUUGUGUGCGUUUGUGUGUUUGAGUGUUUUUCUUAAUUCAGUCAUUCAUACGGAUUUAAUUUGUGUGUGUAUUGUCUUCAGUGUAGUCUGCAUAGUUUUUUUUGAAGACAUUACAAAUACCUAGUUUGAAUAAUUAAUAUAACAGAUUAUUUAUCAUCAAUGGUAGAUAAUGAAUACUGUGUUAUGUGCUUGAUUUCCUUACUGUUGUCUGUAAUAUGGCUUUCUUGGAUUUACAUUGUACUCCUGCUAGAAAAUCUGCCUUGCAAAGUUUACCAUUACCCUUACAUUUUCAGCAUAUAAUUCUUAUUUGACGUUAUGUUCUCUUUUUUUUGUCCAGAAAAUGCUGAUAAAGAUGACACAAGAGUUAAACGGGCAACAGGACUUUGAAAACAGAUGGUGUCUUCUCUCACAGCUAGAAAAAGGAGACGGCACUGAAACAGGCACAGCACGAAUUAAAUUUACCAGAGCACUCACUGAUAACAGAGAGUCCAACAAGAUGGGGCUCAAGGCAAAAAAUGAUUGGUAGGGUGUUGGAGCAGAGCAAGGCGUUGUCUCAGGUUCUGUCUGAAGACAAGAAGACACGUCACCUGGUCCCCACUUGGCAGGACACGGAUGUCCUCGAAUCGAUAAACAACGCCCUUGGUCCUCUACAGGAGUUUACAGAUGCCCUGUCCGGUGAAGCCUAUGUAAGUGAGUCAUACCUGAAGCCAGUGCUCCAUCUCCUGAGAACAUAAACCCUGACUGAAAGUGAUGAAGACACAAAUCUUACCAAGGAAAUCAAAACAAGAGCUCUUGGCUACAUUGAAGACAAAUAGAGCGACCCAGCCACACAGGAGCUACUGGACAUUACCUAUUUUCCUUGAUCCUAGAUUCAAGACUGACUACGAAAAGAGGGCUUGUGUCAGCACCACAGAUCACAUGCCCCAGGGUGCAGCAGAGGCAGAGCCAUGCACCACAGGGAAGGGAAAGCGGUCAUUGGGCAGCUUCUUCAAGAGCAAGGCUGUCCCUCCUUCUUCUUCCACUACGCAGUUGGAAGAUGCCAUCAAUGCUGAAGUGGACAACUACCUGAUGACUCCUACUAUUAACGGAGAGGAAGAUCCACAGCCCUGGUGGAGAAUGCACAAUGUUAGCUUUCCACAGCUGAGCAAACUGGCUCGUAAAUUCCUAUGCAUACCAGCUACCAGUUCGCCAUCAGAGAGAUUGUUUAGUGCUAGUUGGCAAUGUUGUCACAUGUCAGCGCUCAUGUCUAAAACCAUCAAAGGUUGACAUGCUGGUUUUCUUGACAAAAAAUCUGUAAAGAGUGAUGUAGAGAUGUCAGGGAAGCCAGUGUUAUUGUUGAUUUAUUCCUUUUGAGAUUUUAUUUGCUCUGCACAUCACCCUGACUUGUGGUGUCAGCCUUUGUUCAAAAAAGAUUUGCUAUUUUUGCUAUGUUUAAUGCAAUAUUGUUUACAGAAUAUAUGUGUUGUUGAGCCAUAGCCCGCCUAUUAUGUCUGAUAUAUUUUCCAGAAGGGAACAGGUAGGGUCAUUUUAUUUUAGCAAAAGUUUAUUUUAUUACCAAUACUUUUCAAUUUCAUUUACUGUAAGGUUUCUUUUGUAUUUUGUUAAGCUCUACUUUAAGUUAAGACAAUCAAAGAUGGCUCUUUUAGUUCUUCAGUUGUAACAACUGCCGUUGGUCAAGGACUUGAGUUCACAUGCAUGUUUCUUAAUAAAUACAUAUGAAAUCAAUUCUUAACUUUAGUUCUAAUUCUUGCAUUAGAGUAAUGGCAUGUAAUGUUUUAAUUGUAUGAUAUCAUGUUUGUAAAUAUUACUGUACAUUGUGAAUAUUGCACUGAAGCUUGAUUUGAAGAAAAUCAUGAAGAAAAUCGAAAUCGCAAUAUCUGCCAGAAAAAUCGCUAUUAGAUCUUUUCCUGAAAUCGUUCAGCCCUAGACUACAGGACAGAAACUUGAGCACAUGAAACUUCAUUUCCGUGAGCACCGUCUUUCCUCUCAGCUAAGACAGAACCUUCUCUUUUCACUAUGUGUAAAAGUGUCUGGAUGCUUUAACGCAGUCUUUGCAUUCGAUCCUUCUUUUGCAGAACUUGCUGAGAUGGCCAGGAGUAAAGCAGCCAAAACACAUGCCAUUCGACUUCAGGAACUCCACACGUUCUUUGUGAGGCUGAUCUUUUAUUUUGUUGCAUGAAGCUAGAGUGUGAGACUCCUGGAAGUACAAACACGGCUUCUCAAAUGUGAUCCUGGUCUUGCCUGAAUUAGCUGGCAUCACAUAUGUUCCUUGAGGCCUUUUAUCUUCUGUGAAAACGUUGGUAGCGAAGCUGCUUCCACGGACUUCUCUCCUAAAAGGAUGUCUUUCCUUUUGUUCAACCUUCCCAACCGGGGUUGGUCGGCUGAUUACCGAAGAGGGGAUCCAUCAUUAUUUUAGCUUGGCGGUCUAUGUAUUUCACCAAAUCAACGAACAUUGCUCUUCUGCCGCCUCGCUCUUUGACGUUGUAAGCUUCAACACGCCAACGUCAACACGCCUAUCUCUUCCAGAUAGUCUAUGUCUUCCAUAGUGUUGCAACACCCAACCAAGAACAUAGCAUAUGCAUUUAAUGCUUUUCCGUCAUCCGACUUGAUCUGUGGCCAUUUUAGUGCUUUAUCAAUGUAAGCGCUGGCGAUCUGUAGCUCGUCUUCUCAGUGCACCAGCUGUCCAACCCCAAGGUACAGAAAUAAAGUUCACAUAAAUAGAGAUGUCUCGUGAAUUUUCUUUUUUUAAUCAUUUUUGACAUUUAAUAAAUGUAACACAGCCAUAAAAUAAAUCAAAACAAUGUCACGGAGCUUCUCAGGAAGAAGACCCUGGCCUCGGGACCAGCGCGCACGGGGCAGCUGAGGGAGCCGCGCGGCGCACUCAAUCAAGACGCCGUGGCAGCAGCGCCAGCAGCAUGAGACCGCAGGACCACCCGUUCCUGCAGCUCCAGCAAACGGGGUUCGACAUGCUGGAGCGGGAGCUGGCCGGGAUGCGGCGAGACACCAACACUCGUCUGGACCGGGUGGCGAUGUUGCUGCGGCCUCUCGGGCGCAUCGCCUCAAGUUUGGACCGGAUUGCGACAGCUAAGGAAACGUGCAUGGCCCACAAACGACCCACCUCCUCCCCCUGUUGUGCCCCUUCCUCCCCCCAUUCCAUCUCCGUCAACCCGCUCCACCAGGAGCACAUCCAGCAUCAUCACUCCCGGACCCUCAUUUGUCGAAUCCCCCGAGGCAGGCGUAAAAGGCCUUACAGAGGAG
ensembl:lncRNA